rnacentral:rRNA from 1 species
UACAGAGGUCUCAAGCGUUGUUCGGAUUCAUUGGGCGUAAAGGGUGCGUAGGCGGCGCGGUAAGUCGGGUGUGAAAUCUUGGAGCUUAACUCCGAAACUGCAUUCGAUACUGCCGUGCUUGAGGACUGGAGAGGAGAGUGGAAUUCCGUGGUGUAGCGGUGAAAUGCGCAGAUAUCAGGAGGAACACCAAUUGGCGAAGGCAGCUCGCUGGGACGGUUACUGACGCUGGAGAACGCGAAAGCGUGGGGAG